UACGAAGGGGGCUAGCGUUGCUCGGAAUCACUGGGCGUAAAGGGUGCGUAGGCGGGUCUUUAAGUCAGGGGUGAAAUCCUGGGGCUCAACUCCAGAACUGCCUUUGAUACUGAGGAUCUUGAGUUCGGGAGAGGUGAGUGGAACUGCGAGUGUAGAGGUGAAAUUCGUAGAUAUUCGCAAGAACACCAGUGGCGAAGGCGGCUCACUGGCCCGAUACUGACGCUGAGGCACGAAAGCGUGGGGAGCAAACAGGG
rnacentral:rRNA from 1 species